rnacentral:misc_RNA from 1 species
AGCGUCAUUUGCACCCCUCAAGCCUGGCUUGGUCUUGGCGCGCGUCCCCCGGGGACGGCCCCGAAAAACAGUGGCAGUGUGACGCAGCUGCGAGCGUAGUAGUUAUACCCCCCGCUCCGCACGCUGCGCCGCGCCCGCCAACCAACCUGCGAAUUUUCUCAGUUGACCUCGGAUCAGGUAGGGAUACCCGCUGAACUUAA